GGUGUUCACAUGACUGUUUGCUGCACUUAUUUUCCCCACCUCUCACUGCCAUGUGACAUUUUGCCCUUUUUUUCCCCUAAUAAACUAUUACUACAUCACAGAUGAUGCUCUGUGAUGGGAUCACUGUGGAGCUGUCCGGACCAAGUCCUGUCUGGCUCCCAGCAGCCUUGACCAACAUCUGGGUGCAGACACGCCAUUCACCACACAAGUGUAUCAAUUUUGUUUGAAAUUUUAUCUCUGCCCUCUCCUGUAGCUUCUUGUACCAUCUGUGCCAUUGAGUAUGCUGGGGCGCAGAAGUGUGGCUGCAGGUGCUAUGGUGUGUCAUAAGGGAAAUGGUCUGUGAUGAAACAGCUGUUUCUGUAGCAGGAGAGAGGUAGGAAGUUGCCUGCAGCAUGGCUGGAAUGGUGUUAAAAUGAGAGGCAAGCCAAGAGGGUUCAUGGCACUACAAAGAGGAGCUGGGGUUUAAUUAUUAUGCUCCCAUAAAUUUGAGAAAAUGAAUAUUGCCUCUCCACUUUCACAAACUGAAGGGAAAGUAUUUAAGCAUGGCUUUUGCCUUAACUUAAUAACUACAGCUAUAAUAAAGUGAAUUAAACUAUGUGUUUGAUUCAUAAUUGGUAUUUCUGUUACCGCGAGUACAGCCAUUCUCCUCUCAAAUACAUUAAGCUGUAGGAAACUGCUUUUUAUUGGCUGAAGUUUCAUAAUACAUUUAUGUGUUAUUGGAAACAUAAUUCACAUGUAGAGCGUUAUUAAAACCUCACUGGCUUCCAGUUUAAAUCUUUGUGCAGUGAUUUAACUCCUUCCUCAUUUUUACGUGACAUUUUCAUAAUAAUUAAACGUGAAUGUGUCCUUGCAGUCUGUACCCAGACGUUCCGUGGUGAGCAGCAAAGGGAGCGAUAUUCUUCCUGGUCUCAGAUGCUGUAAUAUUAUUGAGUCUAUGAAUUACUUCCCCCUAUCCAGAAUUGCUCCGAAUAGAUCAAACAAAUGCUACUCUUAAGUAAUGGAAAUACGGUACAUUAUAGGGUAUGCUAUGAAUGCUAAUAAUGUCAUUUUUCUCAGAUAUUAAAAGUUUCUCAUUUUCUAUUAUACUGCUUGAUGACAUGCAAUUGUCUUCUGCUGCUAAAUCUAAGCAAUUGUAUUAUUAGUAUGAGAAAAGACCCAUAUUACUAAAGAUUGCAUUUAGAUGUGUAAAAUUUGUCUUGCUAUUCCUGUAUGAUUAUUUAAUACUUGUUUUCAUUACAAAUUAUAAGGAUACAUGGUGGAAUUUUCUUAGCUAAGCUACUAAUUCAUGAAAUCUAGUUUUGUUUGCAAAACAAGUUGAUAACAAGUGUAAUAGGAUCAUGAAAUAGCUUAGGUUGGAAGGGACCUUAAAGCCCACUCAGUUCCAACCCCCUGCUAUGGGCUGAGUGUCCCCACCAGCUCAAGCUGCCCAGUGCCCCAUCCAGCCUGGCCUUGGGCACCUCCAGGGAUGGGGCACCCACAGCUCUCUGGGCAGCUGUGCCAGUAAAUAGUUUCUUCCUAACAUCUAACCUAAGUCUUCCUUCUUUUUGUUUAGUACCAUUUCCCUCUUGUCCUAUCACUUGGCAUCGUUGAACUUCAUGAGGUUUUCAUGGUCCCAGUUCAGGUCCCUCAGGGUGGCAUCCCUUCCUUCUGUUGUAUCAACUACACCACUCAGCCUGGUGUCAUCAACAAACUUCUGAUGGUGCGCUCAGUACCCUUGACUCUGUCAUUGAAGGUGUUGAAGGGCACUGGUCUCAAGAUCGAGGCUCUGGGGGACACCACUCAGCCUCCACCUGGGUGUAGAGCUGUUGAUCGCAACCCUCUGACUAUGAUUAUCCAACCAAUUCCUAAUCUACUCAAUAGGUCAGCCUUCAAAUCCAUAGAUCUCCAAUUUAGUGAUAAGGAUGUGGUGUGGGACCAUGCCAAAAGCCUUGCACGGAUUCAGGUGGGUGACAUCAGUUGUCCUCUGAUGACAUCUCUCCAUUGUAGAGGAUCAGCAGAUUGGUUAGGCAUUAUUCGCCUUUGGUGAAGCCGUGCUGGGUGUCUCAGACCACACGUAAAGUUAAAAUGAUUAAAUGCUUUUCUAUCUGAAUUCUUAUAAAAUCUGUUAUGGUGUUGAUACAGGAGGCUAUCAGAUGUGACAAACAACUUAAGAGAGGUCCUCUGGAAUGGCAGCUGGAGGCCAAAUAGGAACCCAGUGCAUCUUAAAAGGAAGCUUGCAGAGGGAAAGAGGAUGAGACCUGGAAAUCCACCCUGCCUUUAAUUUUGGAAUUCACAUCUUGUGCAUUUCACCCUCAAGGCCCAACAGUGUGUUUACUCCGGAGUUUUAUUGCGAUCUAUCUUGUUGAAAGACUUUUCUGGAGAGCUCUUAACGUAUUGGCACAGAAACCACCCCUGGCAGUGGAAACUUAAAUGUGGAUUAAUUACAAAAAUGUAGGCAGAACUCAAAGCAUCUAAAUGCUGGCAGCAAGGUAGCUUAAAAAUAACAAACACAUGCAAAAACUAUUCAGUUCUGGUAACAACUGAUAAUCACUAUUGCACAAUAAAAUAAUGCAAUUAAAUACGCUUAUAUCCAUCCCUUCUUCAUGAGCAACUAAAAGCAUUGUUCUUUCAAUAUAUUCUAUGCAGUAUAUAAGACUUAACUAGAUGUUAGAGUGGUGAGAUAAGCUAUUUAAUUGAGGAUGUAGUAUGCUAACAACUUACUUAUCACACAGCACUUGGGAUUCAGUGAUCCGGGAAACAUUAAAGAUGAUCUCUUCUGAAGAACUCCUUGAAAAUGACAUGUCCUUUCCACUCACUUUCCUCUAAGCUGCCUCUUAUGAAUACCAUAUUUACCUUCUGGAAUCUCCUUGUUCUUCUCUGUGUCUGUCUCCCAGGGGAAACUCAUAUUCUCCUGGGUUAAAUACAUUGCUUUCAUCUAUUUCUCUAGCUAGAUGAAAGCCUCUGCUUACAUAAAGAGGUCUGAAGCUGCAUUCAGUUGUGCUUUUUCUCUCUCUGCACUGUACUUCCUGCGUUCAGAAUGCAGCCACCAACAGGGAAGUGUUGGGAGUUCACUGCUUGGAGGGUCUGUGGUGUGGGUCAUGUUGAAAAGAAGAGUUUUGUGUAGUGCUUCUUACAGGUCCUUGGAGCAUCCCACUUUCCAGAUGUCUGUUCCAACUUUUCUUAUUAAGUGAUAAGAGUUAUUAUCUUUCUUAUUAAGAGAGACACUCUUAUCUUAAAUGAAAAAGAUGUACAAACUUGUUCUCUUUCCCAGGUUUGUGUUCUGCAUCUGAUAGAAUGGGGCAGUUUAUUACUGCUGCACACUGGUUGCAGUCUGGAUCUCUCAGACUACCUCUGUAUUUCCAGAAGUGGAGAAAAAUGAUCACAAUAGAGAAACAGCAGCAGGAUACAGCUGAGAGAAAUGCCUGCUGCUAAAUGGCCUUGAGGAUGAAGAAGUGUAAAGGGAAGGCAGAAAAAAAGGGCUAAGCACUGAAUCUCUCCUGUCUGACAACAUAGUCUGAAAUAUAAUGCUUCGUUUUCACAGUUGUAUGAGGAAGAAGCAUGUGUGAAAUGUUUUUAGUAUUUAGCAUGUAUUUAGGGUUUUCAUGCUGUAUACAUUGCAUGAAGGUAUCACCGGGAUCCUCUUCAUAGAGCUAUUGCUAUCAGCAGGAGAAGCAAUUACUAAGUCAGGGCAGAGAAAUUCAGUUGAGUCAAGGCUUUGCAGCAAGAUCACAUACGGGUACUAGGGAGCACGUGCUUUGUAGUAAAAUAUAAUUCAUAAUAUUUAUGCAGAUUUGGAAGUGGCUGAACAGCUGGGCAGGUGAGCUGCAGGGUGCUUCUGUGGGUACCUGCUUGUGCUUUAUCUCCUGCAGUAGCAGAAGAAUCUCUAAACCAUCCAUUUGCAGAGAUGGGUUCUAUUUGUUGGAAGACAUAAUAGCAUUUCCUUAGGUGCUCCCAUCAACUAUAUGUUCAGCAGUCACCCUAAAAACAUCUCUGAAACAUUACUGCACCACUUUUAUCACUUCUUUCUUCCCCAUAUAUAUCUCAACCCUGGAUUAUUAGAAUGCUGAGUUUUACAUCUUUCUGAGGAGUCUGGUAUGGAGGAAGUUAUUUUUUUCCUAGCUUUCCCAUGUUUUCCCUGAGUACUUGACUCUCACUGACAGCCAUUGUUUUCAUUCUUUUAUCCCACUAAUAGGCUUUCUAUGCCUCAGGAUAGUCUUUAAAUCAGCAGGCCCGAUCUUCUGAUGAGCUGAUUGCCUGCCAUUCUACCUGGCUUCAGCUGGCACUGGGAGCGCUCAGAACUACUGAGAAUGAGCCUUCAAAUGAGCAGAUGGCAGCAUGUGCUCUUUGUUAUCUCUGGCUCCCACCCACUUGUGCUGAUUUGCUGUUUUAAUAGCUUCGAACUUUCUUAGGUCAUUGAGUCACAAUUCAUUUUCUAUUGGAGUUGAUGAUGGGAAAAAUCUACAGUUGGUGAGAGACAUUGGGAAAGAACAUAUGAAUCUGUGUUGCAAUUUGAUUUACCCUUUCCUUCCCAUCCCUCUCUAAGUUAGUGACCUGAACGAAAAAGUUAUACUACCAUACAGAAGAAAAGAAAGAUUUUAUUUUAAAGUCAUUUUACACAAUGUGGUGAGGUGAUCGCUACUGGUAUUUGUGUAGGCUUAUUGCAACUGAACUCAGAGCAUUAAUCUGGGGUUGAAAUUCUAAUCCAGUGCUAUUGUUCCUGCAGGAACACUAAUUCCACGUUUCAGCAUGCUACAUAGCUGUAAUAUUUCGAUCACAUAGCACAGGGGAAAAGACUCUGUCUGUGGGGUGUUGAUGAAACUGGAAGACUGCAGGAAAAUGGCAGUAGGGUAACUGUUGGUAGCAAUAUAAAAGAGAGGAUUGAAUUAAAGUACAGUAGCUGCAAUGACUGCCUGUUUAGUGUACCCGCAUAUAAUUCACCCUCACAACAACUUUGUCCUCCAAUGGAGACAGGUUAAAUGGUGCAAACAUUGCUCAGAGAGAGAGAUGGCACUGCAGUCCUCUAGCUGUGAGUAGUGCUCCUAAGGACAAACGAUGUGUCAAAGCUGGGAAAAAGCAACCUUUAAUUACUGCCUUAUCCUUUGUAUUUAUCUAUUUCAUCUGAGAACAGUGCCUUCUAACUGAGCCAAGAUAAUUCCAGAAAGGAAUAAAAGCAGCACGGACUCGAGUGAAUACAUAAAAUGUGGGUUGAGGUUCCGAACACCGUAUUAGGAAAAAAAAAAAAGCUUAAUUUCUAUGCUCUUUUAAUCCCCCCUAAAACUUCCUUUAUCUGCAUCACAAGGUCUUUCUGUUGUGGUAUUGUGUGGUCUAUGAUUACCUACUGAAAGAAAAAAGGAAAAAUAUACAGAAUACUCAAGUUACAAUCUAAAAUCAAUGCAUAAAUUGUAGUGGACUCCACUUCUAGUGUUAAAGAUAAAAAGAAAUGGGCUCUUCCAAAGCAAUUAAUGACAUCAACAAGCCGUAAAAACAAUUAACAUUUUACUGGGAAAAAAAAAUGUCUGUGUCCUCUGC
ensembl:lncRNA